rnacentral:rRNA from 1 species
GACGAACGCUGGCGGCGUGCCUAAUACAUGCAAGUCGAGCGCAGGAAAUCAUCCGAACCCUUCGGGGGGACGUUGAUGGAAUGAGCGGCGGACGGGUGAGCAACACGUAAAGAACCUGCCCUCAGGUCUGGGAUAACCACGAGAAAUCGGGGCUAAUACCGGAUGGGUCAUCGGACCGCAUGGUCCGAGGAUGAAAGGCGCUUCGGCGUCGCCUGGGGAUGGCUUUGCGGUGCAUUAGCUAGUUGGUGGGGUAAUGGCCCACGAAGGCGACGAUGGAUAGCCGACCUGAGAGGGUGGUCGGCCGCACUGGGACUGAGACGCGGCCCAGACGCCUACGGGAGGCAGCAGUAGGGAAUCUUCCACAAUGGACGAAAGUCUGAUGGAGCAACGCCGCGUGAACGAUGAAGGCCUUCGGGUCGUAAAGUUCUGUUGUAAGGGAAGAACAAGUGCCGCAGGCAAUGGCGGCACCUUGACGGUACCUUGCGAGAAAGCCACGGCUAACUACGUGCCAGCCGCCGCGGUAA